GAUGAACGCUGGCGGCGUGCCUAAUACAUGCAAGUCGAGCGAACAGACGAGGAGCUUGCUCCUCUGACGUUAGCGGCGGACGGGUGAGUAACACGUGGAUAACCUACCUAUAAGACUGGGAUAACUUCGGGAAACCGGAGCUAAUACCGGAUAAUAUAUUGAACCGCAUGGUUCAAUAGUGAAAGACGGUUUUGCUGUCACUUAUAGAUGGAUCCGCGCCGCAUUAGCUAGUUGGUAAGGUAACGGCUUACCAAGGCAACGAUGCGUAGCCGACCUGAGAGGGUGAUCGGCCACACUGGAACUGAGACACGGUCCAGACUCCUACGGGAGGCAGCAGUAGGGAAUCUUACGCAAUGGGCGAAAGCCUGACAGAGCAACGCCGCGUGAGUGAUGAAGGUCUUCGGAUCGUAAAACUCUGUUAUUAGGGAAGAACAAAUGUGUAAGUAACUAUGCACGUCUUGACGGUACCUAAUAAGAAAGCAACGGCUAACUACGUG
rnacentral:rRNA from 1 species